rnacentral:rRNA from 1 species
UUCGGCCAUAGUGGCGCACGGGUGAGUAACACGUGGGAACCUGCCCAGCAGUGGGGAAUAACUUCGGGAAACCGGGGCUAAUACCGCAUACGCCCUUAGGGGGAAAGAUUUAUCGCUGUUGGAGGGGCCCGCGUCCGAUUAGUUUGUUGGUGGGGUAAUGGCCUACCAAGACUACGAUCGGUAGCUGGUCUGAGAGGAUGAUCAGCCACACUGGGACUGAGACACGGCCCAGACUCCUACGGGAGGCAGCAGUGGGGAAUAUUGGACAAUGGGCGCAAGCCUGAUCCAGCAAUGCCGCGUGAGUGAUGAAGGCCUUAGGGUUGUAAAGCUCUUUCGGCGGGGACGAUGAUGACGGUACCCGCAGAAGAAGCCCCGGCUAACUUCGUGCCAGCAGCCGCGGUAAUACGAAGGGGGCUAGCGUUGUUCGGAAUUACUGGGCGUAAAGAGCACGUAGGCGGUUCGUUAAA